AGCAGUAGGGAAUCUUCGGCAAUGGGGGGAACCCUGACCGAGCAACGCCGCGUGAGUGAAGAAGGUUUUCGGAUCGUAAAGCUCUGUUGUUAGAGAAGAACGGUAAUGGGAGUGGAAAAUCCAUUACGUGACGGUAACUAACCAGAAAGGGACGGCUAACUACGUGCCAGCAGCCGCGGUAAUACGUAGGUCCCGAGCGUUGUCCGGAUUUAUUGGGCGUAAAGCGAGCGCAGGCGGUUUGAUAAGUCUGAAGUUAAAGGCUGUGGCUUAACCAUAGUUCGCUUUGGAAACUGUCAAACUUGAGUGCAGAAGGGGAGAGUGGAAUUCCAUGUGUAGCGGUGAAAUGCGUAGAUAUAUGGAGGAACACCGGUGGCGAAAGCGGCUCUCUG
rnacentral:rRNA from 1 species